rnacentral:rRNA from 1 species
GACGAACGCUGGCGGCGUGCCUAAUACAUGCAAGUCGAACGAGUGGCGGACGGGUGAGUAACACGUGGGAACCUACCCCUCAGCGGGGGAUAACACUUGGAAACAGGUGCUAAUACCGCAUAUUGAUGGCUGACCCCAUCUGGGAUUAGCUAGUAGGUGGGGUAAAGGAGCACCUAGGCGACGAUGUCUCGCGGGUCGGAGAGGAUGAUCAGCCAAACUGGUACGGAGAAACGGCCCAGACUCCUACGGGAGGCAGCAGUGGGGAAUAUUGCAAAAGGGGCGCAAGCCUGAUGCAGCCAUGCCGCGUGUAUGAAGAAGGCCUUAGGGUUGUAAAGUACUUUCAGCGGGGAGGCGUUACCCGCAGAAGAAGCACCGGCUAACUCCGUGCCAGCAGCCGCGGUAAUUC